CCCUUAGAUGUUCUGGGCCGCACGCGCGCUACACUGACGAUGGCAACGAGUUUUUCCUUCGCCGAAAGGUGUGGGUAAUCUUUUGAAACAUCGUCGUGCUGGGGAUAGAUCAUUGCAAUUUUUGAUCUUGAACGAGGAAUUCCUAGUAAGCGCGAGUCAUCAGCUCGCGUUGAUUACGUCCCUGCCCUUUGUACACACCGCCCGUCGCUACUACCGAUUGAAUGGUUUAGUGAGGACUCCUGAUUGGCGCCGCCGCCCCGGCAACGGAGCAGCGGACUGCCGAAAAGUUGUUCAAACUCGAUCAUUUAGAGGAAGUAAAAGUCGUAACA
rnacentral:rRNA from 1 species